CCUACGGGUGGCAGCAGUAGGGAAUUUUCGUCAAUGGGGGGAACUCUGACCGAGCAACGCCGCGUGAACGAAGAAGGUAUUCUGAAUGUAAAGUUCUUUUAACAGGGAAGAAAGAGAAAUUUGACGGUACCUGAAGAAUAAGCUCCGUCUAACUACGUGCCAGCAGCCCCGGUAAUACGUAGGGAGCGAGCGUUAUCCGGAAUUAUUGGGCGAAAGGGGUGCGUAGAUGGCAUAGUAAGUCUUUUGUAAAAAUGGUGGGCUCAAACCAGUAGGGCAAAAGAUACUGGAAAGCUAGAGUAUGACAGAGGCAAGUGGAACUACAUGUGUAGCGGUAAAAUGCGUAAAUAUAUGUAAGAACACCAGUGGCGAAGGCGGCUUGCUGGGUCGAUACUGACAUUGAGGCACGAAAGCGUGGGGAGCAAACAGGAUUAGAUACCCGUGUAGUC
rnacentral:rRNA from 1 species